UAAAUACAACAACAACAACAGCAGCAGCAGCAGCAGCAGCAGCACACGCACAGUAGAAUAAGCUGUCUUCUCGGCUUCGUUCAUCGGCGCAUCUUCCUUUGAAAAUCCUCCCCUUGCCCACGCUGUUGCGGUGCCCUGCUAGACGGCCACGCGCCUGCCUGCUUCCCUGAGGCGUUGCCGUCUCUCUUUCUCAGUCACGCGUCGGCCGCUGCGGCGAACAAGAAAGGGUGCGUGAAUAUGGCUCGUGCCGACACAACUGUCGCAGGCUUGUAGUUAAUCUCUGUUCGUCGGUCUACACGGAGUCACUACCACGUCGGCCGCAGAGGACGUUGCGCUUUGAAAUAUCCACCACGCCCAGGCAAUGCACCUGCCCAACAGUCUCCACUCCUCUGCUCUCUCCGCGUGCACGAUUCAUUCCAGCCGAAAUGGGAGGCAGCUCCGACACCAUCGGCGUGCGGACGAAGCACGACCGUGAGGAGGAGGAGCGUGACAGGAAGCUGAUUGAGCGGAUCAUGGAGGAGAACCAGAACCCGUUUCAGACACUCGUGGAUCCGCUCCUGGAGCAGGCUUCCUACGUGUACAACACCUACCUGUAUGCCUCCGGCGUGAUGUUUCUCACGCUUUCAUUUUGGGGGGCGUACCCGUCGUUUGUGCGGUUCCGCCACGCACACAUCUUCCGCUAUCGCCGGACGCAGCUCUCCUUUCGCCGCGGCCUCUUCGCGACCGAGCACAUGCCAAAGUGGAACAAGAACCGUCUUCAGCGCAUUGUUGUUCCCCCUCUCCCGACAUCGGACCUGGUGGUUGUGGGUUCCGCGGCCGCAUCUCCUGUGCACCCGACAUUGUAUUCGCCUUCUGCUGCUACUAGCAACGUUUCCGUGGUUGCAGCAGCGGACACUGCCGUUACGGCGCGCCCCGCGAGUAAUUUGGACAGGCGUUUUGAUGUGAUGGAGCUAUCUGCCACGCGCACGCCGCACGGCAGCUUUGGUGCCGGUGACACGGAGAAGAGUGAGCGCGCGCUCAGUCGGGAGCUGCAGAGCAUCAACCGCGACUUCUUCGGUCCACAGUCGCGGCUUUUUCACCGUCCUAUACAAGAAAAUGCAUCGACCGGCGAUCUGCGACAGCGCCUCAGGGCAGCAGUGACGACUGCAAAGGCUGUAGUAGUCCUGGUGGAGAACCACCGCACCGUUCGCAGUAUCCCGGAAGGGUGGGAGGUGUGGUGGGUGUCGGAGCCCGAGGCACGACGCCGCCGGUUCUGCAAGUUCUGGCUUGGGGGUCUGGUGUGCGCGCGCGCAUUUCAAGACCUGAUGGACAUGCCGGAUAUGCCGGACUUCAUCAACUAACGGUACUCUCGAUAACGUUCUUUCAUCGUCAUCGAUUCGCUGCUGCGCCUUCGUGUGAGUGUGGUCUUUGAAUUGAGUCAGAGAUGGGUUGCACCGGUGAGGUGAUGUGACGGAUGGGCGGCGGAAAAGCGUAUCGGCGUUGCAUGCGCAGAACACACCCCUUCUCCGACGAAGCGUGUGUGAAGACGAAACAGCGCGACGAAGCGCAGCUCCCCCCCUCUCCUCCAGGGACUCGAUUUCUCAGAAGCACGUAUACCGGGUCGUGCCCAUGCAGGGAGGGGGAACACCGUCGAAACAAAGUAAGAACGGCCUCGAGCAGGUUUGUGCUCGAAACACCGCCGUUCAAGUCAUCAAAGAGGAUGCCACUGCACAAGUAAGGCACGCCAAGAGGAAGCGCCUUGAC
rnacentral:misc_RNA from 1 species